ACAAGGAAUCAUGCAAAACCCCAAACAGCUGAGUCAUCCCUUGCUUUGUGACUGCAGUGCAGGCUUGUUAUAAAAGGAGUUCACAGAGGGCCAUCUGUUGCUUAAAAGAACAGUUUUUGGUGGUUCUCUUAGAAGAAGUGUAAUUGUCUCAGGCAUCUGGACAGAUGUGAGUUUAAGGGGGAUAAUGUUAUCAUUUCAUGGCUGAAAAUACCACUUUUUCUUCUGAUUAUGGCUGGAACCAUUGGGACAGUGAGACUGUCUUAAUCCAUGCAGCUCUCUUGCAUGCUGUACGAAACUCUAAUCCCUUUUGUGGGCAAGUUGGCAAGAGCCACUGGGACCAAGUGGCACAGUGGAGACAGGAGAAAUCUGCAGGGACCAUCUUUUUGUUCUGUAUUUGUACAACACCUAACACAAAGGGGCUAGGUCCAUGACUGGGGCCCUAGGUGUUAUUGCAAUACAAAUAACUAAUAUUGGUGAAACUGAAGCAAUAACUUUAAGAAAAUAUACAUGUUUAAUUAAAUGAA